rnacentral:lncRNA from 1 species
UAAAGGGUGACUUCCUUCGUGUUGGGCCACGCCUCCUCUCUACUGGGUUGUUGAGCUAACUUGGGUGGGGUACAUUUCUUUAUAUACGGCGAUCAUUCCUUUGAUUUUUCCUAGGAUUAUUAAAUUGAGGGGGCCACAUCCUUUCUUUGUAAUUAAUUGUAUCAUGGCUUUAAAAUGGGUGGUACGUACAAUAUUGGGGUACUUCAGACCUAUUGCUAGGCCCCUCUCCUAUACCUCUAUCCCUUUGUUGAUGGGUAGGCCUUGUGUGUUUCCUUGAUCGUGCUUUGGUUAUACGAUCCACAUCUACGUAGGCAAGUAUAGGGCUACAUUCAAAGUUGCCGAAGCUAGUGCUUGGCCAGCAAUUGAUGCAACUGGGUUACUAGCCUAGUUUUUUGCUGGUUGGCGAAGUUGGAGGUUAGUCCAAUUGCCUUUUGUCUGUUAGGUGGCUGGAGCCCUGUUUC